rnacentral:rRNA from 1 species
GGAAUAUUGCACAAUGGGGGAAACCCUGAUGCAGCGACGCCGCGUGGGUGAUGAAGGUUUUCGGAUCGUAAAGCCCUUUUCUGCAUGACGAGCAAAGGACGGUAGUGCAGGAAUAAGUAUCGGCUCACUACGUGCCAGCAGCCGCGGUAAAACGUAGGACACAAGCGUUAUCCGGAAUUACUGGGCGUAAAGGGAGUGCAGGCGGUUGCGUAAGUUAGGCGUGAAAGACUUCGGCUAAACCGGGGGAGGUCGCCUGAUACUGCGUAACUAGAGUAUGGUAGAGGCGUGUAGAAUUCCGGGUGUAGUGGUGAAAUGCGUAGAGAUCCGGAGGAAUACCAGUGGCGAAGGCGGCACGCUGGGCCAUAACUGACGCUAAGACUCGAAAGCAUGGGUAGCGGAC